rnacentral:lncRNA from 1 species
GAAAGGCAAGGAUGUUCAUAUAGGUCUGUUAAACAACGAUGAAAUUAUGGACUUAGGAUUGCUAAAUUAGCAUGUAUUGUAUAAAGCGAGAAAAAUCAUUUGGCUGUGAAGCAUGGGUCUGUGUUCUGGGAAGAGGAUGAGGAGACCAAUGAAAAACUGAGAGAGAGAGAGAGAGAGAGAGAAGGCUUUUAAAUGCACUUCCAUCUUAGAAGAUUUGGUCCUACUAAGAAACAAUAUCAUGUCAAGGCACAUAAAGCCAUUCAAGGUCAAAGGAUAAAGCAUGUUACUUGUAUUCUAUUUUAGCAUACAGAAAAUGUUUUGUGGAGGAACCUGUGUGUCUUUCUUCAGUUUAUUGUUCAAAUUUCUGAUCUAAAUAAAUUUUGGAAUAGUACUUAUGGCUUAAGGACGACCAUGCUUACUGAAGUUGUCUCAGUCUAUUGCCGCAGAUUUCUCAUCUCUUAAAACCACUACUUUCAAUCUGUUUAUUUCAUAUAUCGCAUAAAGAGUCUUGGUUCUAUAGGUGGAAUCGAAUUCAAUACAAUGAAAAGGUGGAAACCAUUUUCCAGGGCGUGAGAUGCAUUUUUGAUUGCUGACCUUGCUAUUACAUGGGAGAGGAUGCUAUUGGAGAUGCAAUAUGGUCAUCUUUUGUUGGUAUGCCAUCAAAAUGCAAUUUUUUCUUUUGCAGUUCUCUGCAAAUGAUUAAAUUACUAUUAGAUGAGUUGUGCUUUGUGGUACAAAUAGUAAUAUGAAUUUUUUAUCUUGCAGUUGCACUUAAGUGCUCUAAGAGUGGCAGUGAUCAUUUACUUGAAGGUAGCAUGUCAGAUCCUCUUUGACUUGCUACAUGUCCUUUGUAAGCUGAAAGUCGGCAAACAUCAAUAUGCAGGAGUCUACGUCUUUGCAUCUGUUUGGCAGCUAGGUAGAAGAUUACAGGCACACACAGAAACUCAAUAUUGGAAGCCAUAGUGAACAUGUCAAUAUUCACAAUUGAUUCUAUGUUUGACAUUUUGGAAUUUUUUGAAGGUUGGCUCUAUAUUUUUCUUGGUUUCCUUAGUGGAAAGGUCUGCACUUCCUAAUUCUGCUAGAUUGUCCAUUCUUCUGAAAUGUUGGUAGAACUUUAGGAAUCAUUUCUUUGUUGUUUGAAAUCUGUAGUUAGCAUUUCAUCACUCUCUCUCUCUCUC